CGUGUAGGCGGUCGAGUGAGUGAGAUGUGAAAUGCCCCGGCUCACCCGGGGACCUGCAUCUCAUACUGCUAGGCUAGAGUACGGGAGAGGAUGAGGGAAUUCCUGGUGUAGCGGUGAAAUGCGUAGAUAUCAGGAGGAACACCGGUGGCGAAAGCGCUCAUCUGGCCCGAUACUGACGCUGAGGCGCGAAAGCUAGGGGAGCAAACGGGAUUAGAUACCCCGGUAGUCCUAGCCGUAAACGGUGAGCACUAGGUGUUGGAGGCAUCGACCCCUCCAGUGCCGCAGCUAACGCAUUAAGUGCUCCGCCUGGGGAGUACGGCCGCAAGGUUGAA
rnacentral:rRNA from 1 species